rnacentral:rRNA from 1 species
GUCGAACGCCCAGGAUCUUCGGAUCAUAUGUGGGAGUGGCGAACGGGUGAGUAACACGUAAGAAACCUGCCCUAAAGACGAGGAUAACCACUGGAAACGGUGACUAAUACUGGAUAGGAUAUAAAACCGCAUGGUUUAAUAUUUAAAGGAGCGUUUGCUCCACUUUAGGAUGGUCUUGCGCAGCAUUAGCUAGUUGGUGAGGUAACUGCUCACCAAGGCGACGAUGCUUAGCUGGUCUGAGAGGAUGAACAGCCACACUGGGGCUGAGACACGGCCCAGACUCCUACGGGAGGCAGCAGUAGGGAAUUUUUGGCAAUGGGCGAAAGCCUGACUAAGCAAUGCCGCGUGAAUGAUGAAGGCCUUCGGGUUGUAAAAUUCUGUUGUUAGGGAAGAACAUGCACAAUAGGAAAUGAUUGUGUACUGACGGUACCUUUCCAGAAAGCUCCGGCUAACUACGUGCCAGCAGCCGCGGUAAUACGUAGGGAGCGAGCGUUAUCCGGAAUUAUUGGGCGUAAAGAGUACGUAGGCGGUUUGUUAAGUCAAAUCUGAAAGCCCACAGCUUAACUGUGGAGGGUGAUUUGAAACUGGCAAACUUGAGUAUGGCAGAGGUAAGUGGAAUUUCAUGUGUAGCGGUGGAAUGCGUAGAUAUAUGAAGGAACACCAGUGGCGAAGGCGGCUUACUGGACCAGAACUGACGCUGAGGUACGAAAGCGUGGGGAGCAAACAGGAUUAGAUACCCUGGUAGA